rnacentral:rRNA from 1 species
ACUCAAAUGAAUAGACGGGGGCCCGCACAAGCAGCGGAGCAUGUGGUUUAAUUCGAAGCAACGCGUAGAACCUUACCAGGGCUUGACAUGUCAGGAAGUCUGCAGAGAUGCGGAUGUGCCCUUCGGGGAACCUGAACACAGGUGGUGCAUGGUUGUCGUCAGCUCGUGUCGUGAGAUGUUGGGUUAAGUCCCGCAACGAGCGCAACCCCUAUCGUAUGUUGCCAGCAGGUAAAGCUGGGCACUCAUGCGAGACUGCCGGUGACAAACCGGAGGAAGGUGGGGAUGACGUCAAAUCAUCAUGCCCCUUAUGUCCUGGGCGACACACGUGCUACAAUGGCGCCCACAAAGCGAACCGAGACCGCGAGGUGGAGGAAACCGCAAAAGGGCGUCGUAGUUCAGAUCGCAGGCUGCAACUCGCCUGCGUGAAGCCGGAGUUGCUAGUAAUCGCGGAUCAGCACGCCGCGGUGAAUACGUUCCCGGGCCUUGUACACACCGCCCGU